AAAAAGAUAAACUCUAUAUUUUCGUGUCCAAUAUUUGACUAUUCUUCUUAUAUUAAAUUUUUUUAUAAUUAGUAUUUUUAUUAUUGUUAGAUGAUAAAACAUGAUUAAUACUUUAUGUGUGAUUUAUCUUUUUAUUUUUUUCAAAUAAGACGAAUGGUCAAACAUGACACGGAAAUCCAGGGUUUAUCUUUUU
rfam:Oryza glumipatula chromosome 8, whole genome shotgun sequence.